GAUGAACGCUGGCGGCGUGCCUAAUACAUGCAAGUCGAGCGAACGGACGAGAAGCUUGCUUCUCUGAUGUUAGCGGCGGACGGGUGAGUAACACGUGGAUUACCUACCUAUAAGACUGGGAUAAUUUCGGGAAACCGGAGCUAAUACCGGAUAAUAUUUUGAACCGCAUGGUUCAAAAGUGAAAGACGGUCUUGCUGUCACUUAUAGAUGGAUCCGCGCUGCAUUAGCUAGUUGGUAAGGUAACGGCUUACCAAGGCAACGAUGCAUAGCCGACCUGAGAGGGUGAUCGGCCACACUGGAACUGAGACACGGUCCAGACUCCUACGGGAGGCAGCAGUAGGGAAUCUUCCGCAAUGGGCGAAAGCCUGACGGAGCAACGCCGCGUGAGUGAUGAAGGUCUUCGGAUCGUAAAACUCUGUUAUUAGGGAAGAACAUAUGUGUAAGUAACUGUGCACAUCUUGACGGUACCUAAUCAGAAAGCCACGGCUAACUACGUG
rnacentral:rRNA from 1 species